GUGCCAGCAGCCGCGGUAAUUCCAGUCACCAGAUAGCGUAUAUUAAAGUUGUUGUGGUUAAAAAGCUCGUAGUUGAACCUUGGGCCUGGCUGGCCGGUCCGCCUCACCGCGUGCACUGGUCCGGCCGGGCCUUUCCCUCUGUGGAACCCCAUACCCUUCACUGGGCGUGGCGGGGAAACAGGACAUUUACUUUGAAAAAAUUAGAGUGCUCCAGGCAGGCCUAUGCUCGAAUACAUUAGCAUGGAAUAAUAAAAUAGGACGCGCGGUUCUAUUUUGUUGGUUUAUAGGACCGCCGUAAUGAUUAAUAGGGACAGUCGGGGGCAUCAGUAUUCAACUGUCAGAGGUGAAAUUCUUGGAUCAGUUGAAGACUAACUACUGCGAAAGCAUUUGCCAAGGAUGGUUUCAUUAAUCAGGAACGAAAGUUAGGGGAUCGAAGACGAUCAGAUACCGUCGUAGUCUUAACCAUAAACUAUGCCGACUAGGGAUCGGACGGUGUUAUUCAUGACCCGUUCGGCACCUUACGAGAAAUCAAAGUGCUUGGGCUCCAGGGGGAGUAUGGUCGCAAGGCUGAAACUUAAAGAAAUUGACGGAAGGGCACCACCAGGGGUGGAGCCUGCGGCCUUAAUUUGACUCAACACGGGGAAACUCACCAGGUCCAGACACAAUAAGGGAUUGACAGAUUGAGAGCUCUUUCUUGAUUUUGGUGGGUGGUGGUGCAUGGCCGUUCUUAGUUGGUGGGGUGACUUGUCUGCUUAAUUUGCGAUAACGAACGAGACCUUAACCUGCUAAAUAGCCCCGCAUUGGUUCCGGCAGUGC
rnacentral:rRNA from 1 species